rnacentral:lncRNA from 1 species
UGGGAACCUCCCUGGGGUUUGUUCUGCAAGUGCCCCCGGCCUGGCUCUGCCGCCGACACGAUUUAACGAAGCCCACGGCGCCGGGAGAAAGGGGGGAAAAGCCCUUUUUGCAUCAGGUGGAGGGGUGGCAGAUGGCCGGACCGCAGCAAAACAGGUGGGAGCAUUGUGUGGUGACCCUCUGAAUUAAGUUCGCUUAAUUUGCUGUAUCUCUAUUAGCAACUGCAGGCUCCGGCUCCGCUCGUGGCUCCGGCCCCGCAGCCCCAUCUGUGCCGGCCCCAGAGCUAAAUCUGUCUCGGAGGCAGCUGGGAAGCAGCUGAAGCCUCUUUUCUCUCUCCUGGGCAGCUCCCGGAGCGGGCAGGCGAUGCUCUGGAACUGCGCUUUCCCUGCGGCUUUCCCGGCCGGCCGCAGUUUUGCUGUCUCUCGCUUUUCCCCGAGGAGCAGCAGGGCUGCUGGGGACCCUGGAGCUGCGGGGACAGUGGGUGGCCGUGCUGGGGAUGUGCUGGGCAGCCCGGGAUGGAGCCGGAGCCGCAGUUGUCCCUCCGUCAGCUCCCAGCUGGCAGCUGCUGCUAAACCUUCCUUUCAUCGCCUGCCAAAAGCGGCCGGGGUGUUUUGCUCUCCCCCUGCCCUUUAAUCCUGACUUUCAUCAUUCUCCGGGCUGUGCCUGCCCUCCCCUCCGCGUUCGGCAUCACCGAGGGGUCGGGAGCUGGGCCGGACUCAGCCCCCCCAGGCUCUUCCCCCCACCUGCCACAUCCUCACCCCAAAAGUUCUCCGGGCCGCGGGGUUGGGCUGCCCGUGGUGGGAGGCGGCUCGGAGAGCAAUGGGUUAACCCCCAGGGAUGUGGGAGAUGCCCACUGGAGCCCUCGAUGGGGGAGGACGUCUGGGCCAGCUGGGGAGGUGCUUCCUGCACGAUCAGGCGGAUUUCCCAGCCUGUGCACGCCGGCCACACGUGGCUGCUGUGGGAAUCAUCCGGCCGGGCAGCGCCGGGCGAAGUCCGGGAUCGGGGCACAGGGAGCUGCAGUAAAACGAAAACAAACUUUGUCCAUUUAAUGGCAGCGUGGGCCAUAAACCAACGCACGAGAGGCAUUUCCGUGAAGGAAAACUGUCCUGCACCACGAGGAAUCAUCUUCCCCCAUCCUGCCUCCCGCGGGGAGGUUCUCUGUUCCCAUUUCCCCGGGCGUGCGGGGGAGCCCCGGGAUGGGCAGAGGGAAGGUUGGACAAUCCCAAAGCAGCUCCCAGUCCUGCUGAUGGAAUCAGAGAGCUGGGGUGGCUCGGCCUCCAGGCACAGUUACCUCCACUGGUGCUCCAGUGGGCAGGGGGGAGCUCGGGGGGGAUGUUAAAUCAUUAAUCUGAAUUAAUUUUGUCUCCUGUAAGCGUGUGGAGGGGGAAGAGUGUUUGGAAAGCAAAGGCAAAGGAACUUGGAGUGAAGCCCAGAGUUUGAUGGUCAUUGCAGUAAAGAUAAUGAAAGUGAGGUGUUUAUUUGAGAGCAGAUUUUGAAAUAUAAAUUAAAAUAUAGAAUUUAAAAUGUAUAUAAUGCUUAUGAGACCCUAUUUCAGAGCUGCCUCCAGCC